GUGGGGAAUUUUGGACAAUGGGCGCAAGCCUGAUCCAGCAAUGCCGCGUGUGUGAAGAAGGCCUUCGGGUUGUAAAGCACUUUUGGCAGGAAAGAAAUAGUGCGUGCUAAUACCAUGCGCGAAUGACGGUACCUGCAGAAUAAGCACCGGCUAACUACGUGCCAGCAGCCGCGGUAAGACGUAGGGUGCAAGCGUUAAUCGGAAUUACUGGGCGUAAAGCGUGCGCAGGCGGUUUUGUAAGACAGGUGUGAAAUCCCCGGGCUCGACCUGGGAACUGCACUUGUGACUGCAAGGCUAGGGUGUGUCAGAGGGAGGUAGAAUUCCGCGUGUAGCAGUGAAAUGCGUAGAGAUGCGGAGGAACACCGAUGGCGAAGGCAGCCUCCUGGGAUAACACUGACGCUCAGGCACGAAAGCGUGGGGAGCAAACAGGAUUAGAAACCCGAGUAGUCC
rnacentral:rRNA from 1 species